rnacentral:lncRNA from 1 species
CCUUGACUGUGGAAAGAGGUGGAAGUGACUGUCUCCUUUUGUUUCUCAGUUAGCUGUCUGCUUCAAGAUAUGAGUCCAGAUGUCUACCAGAAAACAGAUGUACAAACUACAAAAAAAAUACAUCAGCUACAUUAUUCAUCUUGAGAGGCAUAUUACUUCUUGUUUUGCUGACCUAAUGUUAAUACUACAUGAAGAUUUUGAACCUUUAAAUUUGAC